GGGCGAAACUUCGCGCACGGGCAUGACAGGGUUGAGACGAGCGGCUUCGGUGUUGUCUGUUGUACGAUUCUUUCGCUAGCGUAAAUACGUAAACGCGUAGUUGGUUGCCUACAUUUUUUCCAUCCUGAUCUCUGCCGUUACGGUGCGGGUAGGUUUAAUUUGCCCCCUGUUCGCCGCUAACCUUUGGUCAGUCGACUGCGCCCGCAAGUGAAUUUAUAAUCGCUUUGAAACGUAACUGAAUCAAAAGUUUGUUAUUUUGGGUCGAAGCGAUAACUAGAGGUAGGUCAGGGGAAGUCGAGGGAAACGUUGCACAGGGCGGACGUUUUUUCCAGCCCGAUUCCAAAAAGUUAGAAAUCGGUAAAAAAAUUGUGUCGUUUGAAAUAAUUUUGUUCAGUACAUCUUUUACUUGAAUUGUUAGAGGUGUAGUGCCUAGUUUUGUGUGGAUGUCUAUGGAUUUGUAUGCGUUCAGUUUGCGAAUUUCUUGUAUUCACGCUGGUAUCUAGGCCAGAUAGGAUCAGAUGUGACGUAUGGAGCCAUUAGAUGAAUCGGUCGUUUUUUUGAUGAUGAUGGAACUUUUCAGAACCUUUAUUUAUGAAAGCAUCCUUCUUGUUGUAAGCUGACCGAAUGACCUUAUCUAGUUGUGGCCAUUAGAAGUAAUUAACAAACCAAAGAUACAUGUGGCAAUGUUGGACAGGCCUAAGUUUAUCUGUAGUGUUAUAACUCAUGGAAAAUAUGGAUCUUGAGUGCUUUUUUUUUAAACACGAAAAACUGAAUGAUCAGCAAAGGAAAGUAUGUUAGAGGAGGGAAG